rnacentral:rRNA from 1 species
AUUGAACGCUGGCGGCAGGCCUAACACAUGCAAGUCGAACGGUAACAGGAAGCAGCUUGCUGCUUUGCUGACGAGUGGCGGACGGGUGAGUAAUGUCUGGGAAACUGCCUGAUGGAGGGGGAUAACUACUGGAGACGGUAGCUAAUACCGCAUAACGUCGCAAGACCAAAGAGGGGGACCUUCGGGCCUCUUGCCAUCGGAUGUGCCCAGAUGGGAUUAGCUAGUAGGUGGGGUAACGGCUCACCUAGGCGACGAUCCCUAGCUGGUCUGAGAGGAUGACCAGCCACACUGGAACUGAGACACGGUCCAGACUCCUACGGGAGGCAGCAGUGGGGAAUAUUGCACAAUGGGCGCAAGCCUGAUGCAGCCAUGCCGCGUGUAUGAAGAAGGCCUUUCGGGUUGUAAAGUACUUUUCAGCGGGGAGGAAGGCGAUAAGGUUAAUAACCUUGUCGAUUGACGUUACCCGCAGAAGAAGCACCGCUAACCC